CUACAAGCAGCUGUCAUAGAUGUCUGUUUCAUACCAUCAACCUGGUUAACAUCACUUCCCUUGUCUAUAAGUAACUGUACUAUCUUCUCAUUUCCUCCACUACAAGCAGUUGUCAGAGGUGUCUGUUUCAUACCAUCAACCUGGUUAACAUCACCUCCUUUGUCUAUAAGUAACUGUACUAUCUUCUCAUUUCCUCCACUACACGCAGUUGUCAGAGGUGUGAGCCUAAACCCAUC